rnacentral:piRNA from 1 species
ACCAAAAAAUCAUCCGACGAGCUACCGC